rnacentral:lncRNA from 1 species
AUGCAUAAAUGUUAUACAAAAACAGGAACAGCAAUAGAAACAGCAACAGAAACAGCAACAGAAACAGCAACAGAAACAGCAACAGGAACAGAAACAGGAACAAAAACAGGAACAAAAACAGGAACGACCAAAAUAAAGACCCAAACAAAUGCUUCAUUAACACUCAUAAAAGAAGAAUGUUCUAACUCGUAUCCAGUUUUUUUUAAAAUGGAAAAUAUUACAUCACUUUUAAGAGGAAACUUAUAUAUAAACAACUCAAAAAAAUAUUCACCUGUAGAAAAUUCGCACAAUUGUAAAAAUAAUUCAUACUCAGAGCUACACACAGAUAUUGAUUCAUCUUUUGACUAUAUUUCCAACGAUGAUAAAAAAUGUACAAACAGUGAUGAAAGAAACAAUGCAGAAGACGUUAGUAGUGAUAACACCACCAAUAGCAGUAAAAGCAGUUCUGUUAAAAAAUUUACAGCAAAGGAUGCAAAACAAAAAGAUGCAAAAAGUGAAAAAAAUUAUUACGAAAAUUUGAUUACAAACAAUUAUUUACAUGCUUAUGAAAAAUUAAAAAAUGUGAAUAGUUUGUGGGGUAGGUUCUUUAAACCUAAUAGUCUUUAUGAAGUUUCUGGUCAUAAAAAUGAAAUUAUAAAAUUAUAUAUAUUAUUGAAAGAAAUAAAUCGGAAAAAUGGAAUUAGUGACAGUGGUAAUGGGAAGGACAAUGUCAUUUCUUAUUUUAAUAAAAAGUCAAAAGAAGAUGUAAAAAGUGCAAAAGAUGUAAAAAGUGCAAAAGAAGAAGCAAAAAGUGCAAAAGAUGUAAAAAGUGCUAAGAUGAAAACUAUUGAAAUAAACGACAAUAAAAGUGAAGGUAAAAAUCACAGUAUUAUACUUUUAGUAUACCCACCUAAUUGUUGUAUUAAAAGAGUAGUAGAAUUAAUUUGUUAUGCUUGUGAUUUAUGUCCAAUAUAUGAAAGUAAAGUACAGCAGUAUAAAAAUAUAAAUUAUUUUUUUAAAUAUACACAUGGAUUAAAAGCCAUAUCAAUAUAUAAUGCAAAUAAAUUGGACAAACUAGCCAUAACUGAAUUAAGCAAUAGAAAUGAAGUUUGUAUUUGUUUAUACGAAUCUACUUAUUCAGAAAUAAACAAUAAUAAUAGUAAUAAUGUAAAUAACAUUGGAGGUACACAUAAUACUAUUAUUGGUAAUAAUGUAAAUAAUAGUAAUGUUAGUGGUAGUACUAAUUAUGUAAGUACUACUGGCAGUGGUAGUAGUAAUUAUAAUAUAAUAGAUACUGUAUUAAAUUUUUCAUCAGAUAAUACUAAUAAUAUUUUAAUUAAAUUUGAUUAUCCUUCUUUUGAUGCACUUUUUUAUAGAUGUUUUACUGUAUCUUCUUGUGUUAUAAAAAAUAUAAAAAAAAAAAGUAUUAAAUUAUUGUUACAAGUAUGUAAAGAAAGUAAUACAUCAUAUUCAAUAGAAAGUACUUAUAGUAAAUUACACUUAUUAUGUUCUUAUAUUAAUUAUAUUAAAAAUAAACGUUUUACGGAUUAUGUAUUUGAGAAUGUAAGUGAACAAAUAGUUACUUCAGAUUGUAAUACUAUGAAUCAAAAAAACAAUAAUAGUAGUACACCUACGUCUACAUUAGAUAAACGAAUGUAUGAACAACAAGACGAAUAUAAUUGGAUUGAUGAUAUAAUGUUCCCUAAUAACGUUAUAUUCUAUUACAUAACCAACCAUCUUUUAAAUAGAUUUACUAUAUACAAUUAUGAAUAUUUGGAAAAAAAGUUUCUAAAAAAUCGAAAAUUCGCUAUUUCUUCUAAUGAACAAGACGGCAUAAGCAAUCGGAGUAGUAAUAAUACCGAACUGCAAAGUGGUAGUACCGAACUGCAAAGUGGUAGUACCGAACUGCAAAGUGGUAGUACCGAACUGCAAAGUAGUAGUGUCGAACUGCAAAGUGGUAGUGUCGAACUGCAAAGUGGUAGUGUCAAAAUAAAAAAUGGUAAUACCGAAAUACAAAAUAGAACAACCACACUUUCUAAACUAAAUAAGGACUACUAUUUUUAUAGGACAUUCGAAUUAAAUGAAAUCGAGUAUGUAAUUUUUGAUUCAUAUGACAGAUUAUUUCUUAAUAGCAGUGGUAGUGGAGGUAGUGGCAGAGGUAGUGGUGAUAGUGGUACCAAACAAACGAAUAUAUGUUUAAGUUCAAAGAAAAUUAAUAAUAGUAAUAAAAACGAUCAUAUAAAAGAAGAACAGUCAGAAUAUUUAUAUAACGAUGAUGUAUCAAAAAUAAGAAGACAAAAUAUAUUAAUAAAAAUAUUAGAAUUGUAUUUAUAUUCUUUUAUUAUAAUAAAAACAAACGAUAUUAAUGUAUCGUUGCUAGCUGUAGAUAUGGUAGUUUUUUGGAAAAAAUUUCUUUACAUUAGUUCGAUUUUUACGUUAAAAAAAAAAAAUAAAAAUAAAUGUUGCGAUCAGAAUGAUCAAAAGGAACAAAACGAAAAAAACGAACAAAACGAACAAAACGAAGAUAAUGGGUCGAAUGACCAUAACGACCAACAGAAACAAUACCAUCAGACCAGACACCAGACCAGACAACUGACCAGACACCAGACCAGACAACAGACCAGACAACAGACCAGACAACUGACCAGACACCAGACCAGACAACUGACCAGACAACUGACUGCACAAUUUAAAAAUAUCAACUCCACAUAUUUAAAUGAAUAUAAUACUGAUAGAGGAGGAACAAGACACAAUAACUACGAUGGUUAUAAUAACUAUCGCAAUAGCAACAUUUACAACAUUAGUAGUAGUAGUAGUAGUAGUAAUAGUAACAGUAGUAGUGUUAGUAAUAGUAGUGAUGAAUAUAAUGAUACAUACUGUGAUAGUAUUGAUAAUACUAAUAGUGUAAAAAAUAACUUUAGAUUGAAAGAUAAUGUUUAUAAGAACAAAAAUGAAAAAUAUAAUAAAUUAAGUUUAGAAAAAAUAAAAAAAUAUAAAAACCUUAUGAUGACCUUAAAAUGUCCUUUUAAUUUCUCUUCUGUUAAUGUUGUUUAUGAUAUAUUACAAAAUAGUAAAAUGACUGGCAUUAAUUUGAAAAAAAAAAAAAAAAAAAAAAAAAAAAAAAAAAAAAAAGGACGAAAAAAAAAAAAAAAAAAAACUUUCCAAAUGUUGAUUUUUUUUCUUUCUACCCCCAUUUUCAUUGUUUUCUUUUCAAAACGCACUUACAAAUAAAUUAAUGAUGCUUAUAGCAACAUUAGUAACAUUUAUAAACACGUUUUUUUUUUAUUUUUAUUUUUUUUUUCAAAGCAUACAUAUUCACCCAGAAAUUGAUGUCAUGAAGUAGGUGUGUAAGCGCAUGAUUAAAUGAAUGAAUAAGCAAAUAAAUAAAAAAAAUAUAUAUAUUUAUAUAUAUAA